rnacentral:rRNA from 1 species
UACGUAGGAGGCGAGCGUUGUCCGGAUUCACUGGGCGUAAAGGGCGCGUAGGCGGCGGCUUGAGUCCCUGCGUGAAAUCUCCCGGCUCAACCGGGAGGGUGCGCGGGAUACUGGGCGGCUUGAGGACAUCAGAGGAGAGCGGAAUCCCCGGUGUAGUGGUGAAAUGCGUAGAUAUCGGGGGGAACACCAGUGGCGAAGGCGGCUCUCUGGGGUGCACCUGACGCUGAUGCGCGAAAGCGUGGGGAGCGAACCGGAUUAGAUACCCGGGUAGUCCACGCCCUAAACGAUGGACACUAGGCGUGGGGGGUAUCGACCCCCCCCGUGCCGCAGCUAACGCGAUAAGUGUCCCGCCUGGGGAGUACGGCCGCAAGGCUAAA